rnacentral:rRNA from 1 species
AGCGAACGCUGGCGGCGUACUUAACACAUGCAAGUCGAACGAGGAGCUUCCGUGUAGCAAUACAUGGGGUUCGUAGUGGCGUACGGGUGAGUAACACGUGGGCGAACCUGCCCUUCGAGUCCGGGAGUACCCUCCUCGAAAGGGAAGGGCUAAUACUGGAUACGUUCCUCGGGUCGCGAGAUCUGGGGAGGAAAGGUAGCGAAAGACUGCCACUCAUGGAGGGGCGUCGCGGCCUAUCAGCUAGUUGGUGAGGUAGCGGCUCACCAAGGCUAUGACGGGUAGGCUGGUCUGAGAGGACGACCAG